GACGAACGCUGGCGGCGUGCCUAAUACAUGCAAGUAGAACGCUGAAGGAGGAGCUUGCUUCUCUGGAUGAGUUGCGAACGGGUGAGUAACGCGUAGGUAACCUGCCUGGUAGCGGGGGAUAACUAUUGGAAACGAUAGCUAAUACCGCAUAAUAGUAGAUGUUGCAUGACAUUUGCUUAAAAGGUGCAAUUGCAUCACUACCAGAUGGUCCUGCGUUGUAUUAGCUAGUUGGUGGGGUAACGGCUCACCAAGGCGACGAUACAUAGCCGGCCUGCGAGGGGGGUCGGCCACACUGGGACUGGGACCCGGCCCAAGCUCCUACGGGGGGCAGCAAGAGGGGAACUUCGGCAAUGGACGGAAGUCUGGCCGAGCAACGCCGCGUGGGUGAAGAAGGUUUUCGGGUCGGAAAGCUCUGUUGUAAGGGAAGAACGAGUGGGAGAGUGGAAAGUUCACACUGUGACGGUAUCUAACCAGAAAGGGACGGCUAACUACGUG
rnacentral:rRNA from 1 species